rnacentral:rRNA from 1 species
UACGUAGGUGGCGAGCGUUGUUCGGAUUUACUGGGCGUAAAGGGAGCGUAGGCGGAUUUUUAAGUGAGAUGUGAAAUACUCGGGCUCAACUUGAGUGCCGCAUUUCAAACUGGAAGUCUAGAGUGCAGGAGAGGAGAAUGGAAUUCCUAGUGUAGCGGUGAAAUGCGUAGAGAUUAGGAAGAACACCAGUGGCGAAGGCGAUUCUCUGGACUGUAACUGACGCUGAGGCUCGAAAGCGUGGGGAGCAAACAGG